UGACGUCUGCGUUCGAUUGAGGCCCAUGAGUCAGGUUAUCCAAUGUACUGUUCCCCGUUUGCCAUCCUCCCAACGACCCCACAUCGGGAGAUGGCCUAGAGCACCGCUCGUACUCUGGCCGACCGUGUUUGUCAAAUUACAUUCCCUCACCCAUGGCGUCCUGCUGGCAGUCCGAACCUUGCUCCUCGCCCACCACUGUACUGAUGACCGUUUUCGAUGGCGGUGAGCGAGGAGGACGUCCGAGGCAGUCUUGUCAAAAGAUCAGAUACUUUUGAGCAACAAUCCGUCCAUGGCUGUGCACGUUUGCACAUCGGCCGGCAACUGGACAUGACCAAGUCUCAGCGUGGCCACUAACCCCAGGACCUGCGGGGGAACCCCUCGUCAUGGCGAGCGUCGUCUCUACGAGCUUCGCAUCGAGCGUCCUAAACGCUCACCAGGUGCACUUUGUGCGUUUUUUCUAGAUGGUCUAGCUGGCGAGGGUGGCGCACGCCUUAGACAAGUUAACUGUUUGUUCAGUUGCACUAGCUAGCGCUCACUAGGGUGCAUAGCUACACUACAAAAUUGCUUAGCUGUAAGCCCGAGGUUUCGUGGGCAUGGCUUGCGGCCACACGGGUCUUCUCCGUGCCGGAAUCGAAGAGGACGGGCCACGUGUUGCGGGGUGGCGGUGUAUAUAUAGCUUCAGGUUUAGCUGACACACAGGCUUAGCUUCCACUGCGCAGGCUACAGCUGAUAGCCGUCCUCUUACGACUGCGUCAGGGACAUGGACCCUUCCGAAUGGCCUUGCGACCCGACCCCACUAUUUCGUGACAAGGUAGCCCGGGCGCGUCAGUGCUAUCGAGCGAAAUGUGGCAUCACGGAAGCAAACGCCAUUCUGAAAUUGCCUCGCCAGCUUUUAGCUAUUUAGGCGACCUUACGUCGCCUACGGUCGGGAGCGCAGCUCCGCCGUGCAGCAGCUACGGUAAGUGGUCCAUUUCUUUGCGGUUCCAGCUGUUCUUUUCUGGUUGUUUACUUUCCUCCUUGCGUCGCAGUUGAUGACCUUGAUCACCACUCGUGCAGUCACCGACCGUCUUAACUAUUCGCAUUCCCUCGGCGGUGAAGUGCUGCUGGGGAACUAGACUUUGUUCCUCGCCCGGCCCUACUCCUGGCAAGUAUCAUGGCUACUAAAAUACUAGUAUAGCUUUGUUCUUCAAUGUUUAACAAGCCCUGCCUGAUUUCAGGUUCCUACCGUCUGCUUUCCAUUGCGGCUAUUCACAAGCAUAUCCAGCGGGUGCUUCUGCACAUCUAGUCUCCGGCCGUGUUAGGUCUGAAUUUUUCUCGCCGGUGGCUUUCAGCUGGGAGACGGAGAUUCGUUCAACUCCCUGCACUACUUCUGACAAGUACCAUGUUUGCACUCCAAUGGUACUACGGAUGUUUUCUCGUGUGGCGUAUAAGCCCUGUGGCAUUUAAGGUUCCGGACGUCUGCUUUUGAAUGAAGCCGUGUUUUUCUCUGACGGCUAUGGUUCGCGUUCUCUGUACUCCUUUCCUUAAUCAUGUUGCUACACUUGCCGGUUCCGCAAGUACAAACUUUGUGGGCUUCCGAUGAAAUUUGCUGUCGAAUGUAUUUACUAUGCAGACCUUCGAGGUUAAGUUUAUGCUUCGGAAGACUUCCUUCGCCAGUUUCCAAAAGGAUUUCGUUUGUCGCUCUCCGAGUAAGACGACGUUCAAUUUCUUCCGUUCCUGGUUAUAUUUCUUAGCUGAGUUCAUUUCCUCACCAGUAAUUUAUUUCGUUUACUGGGAGUGCCACAUUUUUCACAAUGCUUUUGUAACUCUAGGUAGUCUUCACUUUUGUCGAAGGUUGCCGCCCUAUUCUUCAAUGUUUUCCGCAGUAGACUUGAAAACUACGAAUGAGCCUUUCAUAGAAACCGCCCCCACACGGUGUUUUGCGGAGGAAAUUUCCACUGGGUAAUAGGUCAUGAAUUGUUCAUUUGUUUAUCGACAAUGUUGCUGUGACCGCACUCAAUCCCUUAUUAGUUCUCCUGAAAGUCUUGCGUUGUUGCUGAUCACAUUUAUGUUCGACCUGAGAAACGCCGAAAAUAGUGUAGAAAACUGAUGUGAAGCGUCUCCAACAGUUUCGCAGUGCACACCUCUUGCCACGGCACAUGUGAAAGUUGCUACACGUUUUGGCUAAGUCUCCUUCUUUCUUUGUAGCUGCUCCCAGCGCAUCGUUGACACGUAUACGAGCCAUUUCAAACAAUGUGGUCUUCGUUACUCUAUCCUCAAGAAGAGGUACUUCCUCUUACAAGGAUGUGCAAUUGUAUCUUCGCCACACAAAGCACUGUCGUAUUACUUCUUUCACUUAUUUUUGUCCUCCGAUUACGUGAAACCUUGUUAUUACCCGCGCCAUUGUACCGUGUACUCCACCGUGAAGUUUGUCCAUAUAGGCGUCGCACUAAUAGUCCAGAUUUCUUCACAUUUACAUGUGAUUGGGUGUUGCUCCUCUUGUGAUACGGGCCCUACCGAAGGCGCCCUUGAAGUCUCAUUGGGUCUUUUAUCUUAAAAUAUCUGGUAUUCCCCUAUUGUCUGCACAUUCGCUUGCUUGCUGAAUUUCUGCAAUUUUGCAUUAUACACUUUGUUCUAGCCAAACGAGGCAGGUUUCGGCGGUAUUUAUUUCUUCUGCUUUUAACGGACCGUUGAACUUGUCCUCAAAUAUUCACGGAACGAAACAUUCACGCAUUUGCUCUCGAAAUAUUCAAGUAACUGCCGAACCUGUCAACUUCAAUGCCUCGUCUUGAGAUCAUUUUCGGCGUAUGUCUGACACGAGAAUCAUCUCCUUUCCUUUCAUUAUUAACCGGCAUAUUGUAACAGCUAUUUGGUCUGUAGCAACUGGGAUCCCUACCACAAAAUUGUUCACUACGACAUCUUUUCUACAGUGACUCCUGGUUACAUCUGCUCGAUUUUUCAGUAUUAUUGAUGUAUCCCCAUUGUCCUCCUACUAAGUAAUCCUUUUUUUUUGUAGUCUGUGUUCAACGGUUACUUCAUACAUUUCCUUUCUCCAAUGCAGCACAAUUGUACAAGUGGUCCAAUAUUUUAUUGUUGCUCGCAAGUUCUGAUUUGCGAGACUGACGACGGUGUUCAUUGGAGCUUCUGUUCUUUGCCAGGACCAGCACUGUCUCUGCUCUGAUAUAGUAGUACCAUGAACGCUGCACUUGAAUACACCGCCGGGCUUGCAUCCCAAGAAAGUGUCGGUGCUUACGUUCAGUUUCUUGUUGCCGAUGCGCUUUGAGGCAUUUAGUCCUUUAUCUUCCUCGGUAUAUUUCUCCAUAGAUCAUUUAUUUUCGUCUGGGAGAGGGUUAUGCCAAGAUUCCGGUUUUUCUGCCGUCAUUGAAUACCGAUAUUAGCUGUUGCAGUGCAGGAAGUUAGAAAUUCCAGCCGACCAAAUAUUUUUGCCCUGGCUUGAAAUACUCAUCGCUUCGUGAGCAUUUCACUCGCGUCUUCAUAUCCAUGGGAAAGCAGAAUACCGUCGGCCGUGUCCCAGUUCAUUCCUAGAAUACUGGUCUGGCUUGAUUUAGUAACAAUGGCACCUUGAUGCGAAUUUAAAUUCUCGUUUCUUCACUGUUCGAUCUCCAUUUCCUAAGAUUCAUUGCAGCUCGGAGAAUGUUUCUUUUUUUCGCUUCUAUGUAUACACGCAUUUUGGCUGGUUUUCUUACGCUCCAAGCAUAACUUCAUCAACGGAAACUUAAUUACGUUUGCUGUCAUUGCAAGAAUUUCUUGGAAAAUUCAUUAACAGUGCUGGUACAUCUGCAUUCAAAUUUCCUCCUGCCUGAACAUAAUCAUUCAGAACAUUCCUGAUCUUAACCACGAGGCGUCAAAUGCUACGCUUAAUUUUCUUCCUAGUCGGUCUUCUCGAAUUGCUUGAUGUCACGAUAUGGUAGUUAUUGUUCAGAUUCUUCCGAACUCGCUCGUUCUGCUUUCCGGGUGUGAAGCAUCUCGCAUUGAACAGUUCUAUUUUUAUCUCACUGCUGUUGCAUUUGUCUGGUGUCUUCGAGAUGUUCUUCCGAUUGCAACUUCGUUGAUUUCCACGUUAACUUCCUCUCUCCAUCCUUCUGAACAGUCCUUGUAACUACAUAGUCCACUUUAUGCAUCGUUUCUUUCUGAGGAGCUAAGCCAGUAUAUUCCGCCUUCAAAAAGUUCAAAAUGGAAGUCGUCAGUUUCUCCGGCGCCAAGAACCAUGGCGAGUCUCGCGUUUCGCAGUUCACUUCUACACCACAUGGUUCGGGCACAAUCCAGUCUGGUAUUUUCUAUUUUCCAUGGUAUCUUUCUUUCGUCUUUUCACUGGACUUGUCUCCUCGCCCUGCACUACUACUGGUUCGUCACUCCUGUUCUCAAUUGUGGUCCACAAGCGUACCCAAAGCGCUGUUGCACGACUCUACGGUCUGCGCUCCAAAAGAUUACUUCGGGCACGAGCAUCACCUGUUCCAGGAGCGACUGCUAUUGCUUCCACAUUCUCUCGCCAGUGAAGUCCUGCUGAUAGACUGUACUUGUCUCCUCGCCCUGCACUACUACUGGUUCGUCACUCCUGUUCUCAAUUGUGGUCCACAAGCGUACCCAAAGCGCUGUUCCACGACUCUACGGUCUGCGCUCCAAAAGAUUACUUCGGGCACGAGCAUCACCUGUUCCAGGAGCGACUGCUAUUGCUUCUACAUUCUCUCGCCAGUGACGUCCUGCUGAUAGACUGUACUUGUCUCCUCGCCCUGCACUACU